UAAAUAAAUAAAUAAAUAAAUAAAUAAAUAAAAAAAAGGAAGUCCAGAAUAGAAAAGGGCCGAGUCCAAACAUCCAGAUUUCUUAGGGUUUUUUCUUCUUUUCCAGAGAAAAGCCAAAGCUGCAUUUACCCCCUUUCAACUGGUGCGGCACAGGGAAACCAGGGGCACCACCCCAACUCCGGCAAACUCCUCCCGGUCGUCGUCGUCGGGGUUGUCAACAACGUUACCCGCGUCGAGAGCGUCGUCGUUCUUCGCGGCACUCGAUUUCUUCGUCGUCUCCCGCGUGCACGGCCCAAUCCCACCACCAACGUUGCGCCGCAGACACCGGCAACCGCUUCGACUCCGCCGCCACCGGCGCUCAUCCAAGGAUGUGGCAUCUGUAGACUGCCGCUCUUCGUUGCCGGUGAUCCUUUCUUUUCUUAUUUUUUGCUCUGAUCGGGGUUCGUGCGCAAGUGAUAUUUUUAUGACCCAAAAAUGCAAAAAAAUGAUGGACGAAUUGAAACGAUACUUUAAUGGUCUGAAGUUGACAAAGAUGAUGAAACCGCUAUGUUUUACUGUUAUGUUUUUGGUUUUGCAGGAAAGUGAUUUUUGGGGUUUUUGGUGGCAUCAGUUAGAGUUUGAUGUUAAUGAUGGGGUUCUAUGUAAUUGGUCCUCUGUUUUACAGUACUUAGAGUUCACUUAGAGUUCUAUAUGAUGGAGGGAAAUGGUGGCUUCGUAGCUGCGCAAUAGUUGUGAGAAAGUAUAGGGAAAGCCAAAAACCUAACCUAAGUUGGUGAUGGAUGAAUGGAAAACAAGGAUACAAAACCAGACCACGCAACAGACAAAGUAACUCCCCGAUAUAAUUACAUAGUUUAAUUCAAACACCGGCGGGCAUUAUCAAACCAAAUUGGUACUGGACACGAUGAGAUACCUGAAGAAGCUCUUCUUCCUUAUCUUCCUCUUUCUAAAUGUGGCUUUUGUUGCUUUGUGUUGAAUGGUGGUUGAUGGAUGAUCCCGUCGGCAAAGGGAGUCAAAGCUAGUUGGGAAUGUUGUUGAUGUUGAGUGGGAGAAUCAGGUUCUUUUGUGCGCUCUUGAGUUCCCCUACCGUGGUUGCUGUGAUAAGGAGAAUGGCGUUAGUGCUGGAGGUCCUGGUAUCAGGAGCUCUCUCCUCAACUGGUUCGGUAUUAGUGAUGAGUCUUCAAAGUUCAAAAUCCGUUGGGCAAAAACUUGAGGUAAGUGUGGGGAGCAGAGAAAAAUCAGAGCAAGAGGGAGUCCCGUUGUUUUUUCAGUCCUCCGUGAAUCCUAGAUGGUUUUUUUUUUAAGUUUUUAAUCCCCUUAUCUAGGGAAGUCAGCUUUCUUUUCGUCCCCCUGUUCGAGAGUAUCCACUGAGGAUCCAGAAUCACCUGCCAAAGCCGCCUGCCGAUGCCGCCACCUUUGUCAAACGCCAUUCUCCUUUGAUGUAUAGUCGGUUGCCGAAAAACAAAGGGCACAGGAGCUUUUUUCCAAAAAAACGAAAAUUUGUUGCGUGUAGAAGUGUUUGCUGUUUGUGUGUUGCAGGAUAGAAGCGUUGUAGGAAGGGAUGCUGAGUUCUUAUUGACUGAGAAUGAAGACUGACUGGUAACGAAAAGAAAGACAAGAAUAUUAUUCCAAAAGAGGAAAUAAGUUGACUAUACCACUUUUUUUCUUUUUGUUA